AUACCGCAUCUAUAAAUGAACGGGGCCUCAGUGGGAAUGAUUAUUUUCUCAGGUGUCUGCAACAGUGUUGCAACUAACGCUACAAUGCCUGAACCUACCAAGUCCGCUCCCGCCCCGAAGAAGGGCUCCAAGAAGGCGGUGACCAAGGCGCAGAAGAAGGACGGCAAGAAGCGCAAGCGCAGCCGCAAGGAGAGCUACUCCGUGUACGUGUACAAGGUGCUGAAGCAGGUCCACCCCGACACCGGCAUCUCCUCCAAGGCCAUGGGCAUCAUGAACUCCUUCGUCAACGACAUCUUCGAGCGCAUCGCGGGCGAGGCUUCCCGCCUGGCGCAUUACAACAAGCGCUCGACCAUCACCUCCAGGGAGAUCCAGACGGCCGUGCGCCUGCUGCUGCCCGGGGAGCUGGCCAAGCACGCGGUGUCCGAGGGCACCAAGGCCGUCACCAAGUACACCAGCUCCAAGUAACUUUGCCAAAUGCCCCUGAGUACCGAGGACUGGAGGAGGUAGAAAGGGAAAGAAAACUCCCUUCUGGAAGGAUGUAGCUUCUGCACAAGGUCAUGCAGCCAUGUACUAUAUCCAGCAUCACAGAAACCUCAACGUUUUUCCUCUGCUGUGUCUGGGGCAUAAAGAAGCCUUGGGGUAUGGUGAAAGGCUGUUCUUACCAGGAGUACACUCACAGGCCAGGGGGCUGCCAUCUUCUUCACAGAUAUUCCCAAAAGAGGAACCCCCUUGGGGCAGAAAGUAAGUAAGCUGCUUAUGAGAAGGCCCUGGAAGUGAGAAGAAGGACCAAGGAAGAUGACUACAAAGGGUGAGGAUUGUUUUUGUUAAAAAAAAAAAAAAAAAAAAAAAAAAGCCUGGGUGGAGUAAUCUGAAUCACCUGGCACCCGCCUGAAUGGAAUCCUCCCAUGCUGAAGGGUCCUUGGAGUUCCCCAGCCCCCACCUUCUCCCCCUUAAGGCAUGCUGAUACUGAAUGUUAUAACUUUGAGCCGUUUCUCACUAGAGACAAAAACUUGUCAUCUGGCCUUGCAGAGAAGGUUCCACCUUAAUGCUCAAAGUACAUUAUCUUUACUAUGGGCUAGGGUAUGAUACUUGAAGGAGCUUGUGUUAGAACAGUAUUAUUGAGAGUAUCUGCUUUCCAGGCUUAAGUGAUUCAUUUAUUAUUCUAGUCCUGCUUUA